UUUCUGAAAGCGGAGUACGAAGUAAAAGAGGAAGAGAAAAAGCAGAAGAAAAAGUGAGAGGGAACGGUGAAACGGCUUGGGACGAACGGAGAGUUCUUCAAGAAUAAUUCGGAAGGCCAAAAAUCAAAUUGCAAAGCAAAAGAUACACAGCCAAAAGUAAAAGCAAAGCUGUGGUGGCAGGAACUGUUGAGCAAUGUCAAUUUUUCCAUUAUUGUAUCCCAGUUGUUGCUCCAUCUCCCAUUCGGUUCAGUUUAUCCUAUUUGGCUUUUAUAGUUGUGGAUCGGCUCAUUACUCAUUGCAACCAAAGUUUCAAAAGAAUCGGUGGGCAUAGUAAGUAGACCCCCAGAAAAAAAAAAAAAAAAAAAACCCAGCCAAUGGUUUUUAUUUAUUUAUUUCUUUAUUUUUUUUACUCGAAUUUUCUAGUAAAAAAAGAAAGAAAAAUUGCUCUCCAGAACCCCCCCAAAAAAAAAGGGAAAAAAAAGAAAAAUUUUGUUGCUUAUCUUCUGGUCUCCACAAAAAAAAAAAAAGAAAAAAAAAAAAAAAAAAAAAAGAA